rnacentral:rRNA from 1 species
GACGAACGCUGGCGGCGUGCCUAAUACAUGCCAGUAGAACGCUGAAGGAGGAGCUUGCUUCUCUGGAUGAGUUGCGAACGGGUGAGUAACGCGUAGGUAACCUGCCUGGUAGCGGGGGAUAACUAUUGGAAACGAUAGCUAAUACCGCAUAAUAGUAGAUGUUGCAUGACAUUUGCUUAAAAGGUGCAAUUGCAUCACUACCAGAUGGACCUGCGUUGUAUUAGCUAGUUGGUGGGGUAACGGCUCACCAAGGCGACGAUACAUAGCCGACCUGAGAGGGGGAUCGGCCACACUGGGACUGAGACACGGCCCAGACUCCUACGGGAGGCAGCAGUAGGGAAUCUUCGGCAAUGGACGGAAGUCUGACCGAGCAACGCCGCGUGAGUGAAGAAGGUUUUCGGAUCGUAAAGCUCUGUUGUAAGAGAAGAACGAGUGUGAGAGUGGAAAGUUCACACUGUGACGGUAUCUUACCAGAAAGGGACGGCUAACUACGUG